UACAGAGGGUGCAAGCGUUAAUCGGAAUUACUGGGCGUAAAGCGUGCGUAGACGGUUAUUUAAGUCAGGUGUGAAAUCCCCGGGCUUAACCUGGGAACUGCAUUUGUGACUGCAUGGCUGGAGUGCGGCAGAGGGGGAUGGAAUUCCGCGUGUAGCAGUGAAAUGCGUAGAUAUGCGGAGGAACACCGAUGGCGAAGGCAAUCCCCUGGGCCUGCACUGACGCCUCAUGCACGAAAGCGUGGGGAGCAAACAGG
rnacentral:rRNA from 1 species